UGAAUACGAGACGCUAAGGCGUUGAAGUAGUGUAUGUCAUACUUCCAAGAAAAGCUUGCACUGUCAUAGAUAAAAAACGCCUGUACCAUAACCGACACAGGUGGGUAGGUAGAGUAUACUAAGGGGCGCGAGAUAACUCUCUCUAAGGAACUCGGCAAAAUAACUCCGUAACUUCGGGAGAAGGAGUGCCUUAUUUAUGAGGCUGCAAUAACAAGAUCCAAGCAACUGUUUAUCAAAAACACAGGUCUCCGCUAAGUCGUAAGACGAUGUAUGGGGGCUGACGCCUGCCCAGUGCCAGAAGGUUAAAGAAGUUGGUUAGCAAUAGCGAAGCUGAUAACUGAAGCCCUGGUGAACGGCGGCCGUAACAAUAACGGUCCUAAGGUAGCGAAAUUCCUUGUCGGGUAAGUUCCGACCCGCACGAAAGGCGUAAUGAUUUGGAUACUGUCUCGGAGAGGGGCUCGGUGAAAUAGACUUGUCUGUGAAGAUGCGGACUACCUGCACCAGGACAGAAAGACCCUAUGAAGCUUUACUGUAACUUGAAAUUGAAAUUGGACUUUAUUCGCGCAGUAUAGGUGGGAGGCUUUGAUUGUAAUCUUGCGGGAUUAUUGGAGCCAUCAGUGAGAUACCACCCUUGUAAUGUUAGAUUUCUAACUUUGAAUCAUUAUCUGGUCAAAGAACAGUUUCAGGCGGGCAGUUUGACUGGGGCGGUCGCCUCCUAUACGGUAACGGAGGCGUACAAAGGUUUCCUCUGAACGGUUAGAAAUCGUAUCUAGAGUGUAAAGGCAUAAGGAAGCUUGACUGUGAGACCUACAAGUCGAGCAGGGACGAAAGUCGGUCUUAGUGAUCUGACGGUACUGAGUGGAAAGGCCGUCACUCAACGGAUAAAAGUUACUCUAAGGAUAACAGGCUGAUCUCCCCCAAGAGUUCACAUCGACGGGGAGGUUUGGCACCUCGAUGUCGGCUCAUCGCAUCCUGGGGCGGUAGUACGUCCCAAGGGUUGGGCUGUUCGCCCAUGAAAGCGGUACGCGAGCUGGGUUCAGAACGUCGUGAGACAGUUCGGUCCAUAUCCGGUGUAGGCGUUAGAAUAUUGAGAGGAGCCUUCUUUAGUACGAGAGGACCGAGAAGGACAUACCUCUGGCGUACCAGUUAUCGUGCCAACGGUAAACGCUGGGUAGCUAUGUGUGGAGUGGAUAACCGCUGAAAGCAUCUAAGUGGGAAGCCCACCUCAAGAUAAGUAUUCCC
rnacentral:rRNA from 1 species